CCUACGGGUGGCAGCAGUGAGGAAUAUUGGUCAAUGGACGAGAGUCUGAACCAGCCAAGUAGCGUGAAGGAUGACUGCCCUAUGGGUUGUAAACUUCUUUUCUAUGGGCAUAACAUGUUCCCCGUGUGGGAUUUUGUGUGUACCAUAUGAAUAAGGAUCGGCUAACUCCGUGCCAGCAGCCGCGGUAAUGCGGCGGGUCCGCGCGUUAUCCGGAUUUAUUGGGUUUAAAGGGAGCGUAGGUGGAUUGUUAAGUCAGUUGUGAAAGUUUGCGGCUCAACCGGAAAAUUGCAGUUGAAACUGGCAGUCUUGAGUACAGUAGAGGUGGGCGGAAUUCGUGGUGUAGCGGUGAAAUGCUCAGAUAUCACGAAGAACUCCGAUUGCGAAGGCAGCUCACUGGACUGCAACUGACACUGAGGCGCGAAAGUGUGGGUAUCAAACAGGAUUAGAUACCCUUGUAGUC
rnacentral:rRNA from 1 species